UGACACAAGAUUGUACAACAGACACCUGUGCUGACUAGACAUGAAAAAGUCUGAAAGAUACAGAGUCUGAAUCAGCUUCAGGAAUGGCUGAAUCGACGGUGAGGAUGUGUACAGGCUUCGGAUACUGCAUCAACCGAAAAAAACUUUCUUACCCACUUCAAAUCUGGGAACCAAAUAUUUCAGGAUUUCUUGCUUACAACGCUGUACAGUGGCAAUAUAUAAUAUAUGUAAUUAUAGACCUGCAGAUAUAUAGGUUAUGAUUAGCCUCUCCCUGUACACCUGUAUACACAGGUACAUCGUUAGCCUCUCCCUGUACACCUGUAUACACAGGUACAUCGUUAGCCUCUCCCUGUAUACAUAGGUACAUCGUUAGCCUCUCCCUGUAAACCUGUAUACACAGGUACAUCGUUAGCCUCUCCCUGUACACCUGUAUACAUAGGUACAUCGUUAGCCUCUCUGUACACCUGUAUACACAGGUACAUCGUUAGCCUCUCCCUGUAUACAUAGGUACAUCGUUAGCCUCUCCCUGUACACCUGUAUACACAGGUACAUCGUUAGCCUCUCCCUGUAUACAUAGGUACAUCGUUAGCCUCUCCCUGUACACCUGUAUACACAGGUACAUCGUUAGCCUCUCCCUGUACACCUGUAUACACAGGUACAUCGUUAGCCUCUCCCUGUACACCUGUAUACACAGGUACAUCGUUAGCCUCUCCCUGUAUACAUAGGUACAUCGUUAGCCUCUCCCUGUAAACCUGUAUACACAGGUACAUCGUUAG